rnacentral:rRNA from 1 species
UACGUAGGGUGCGAGCGUUGUCCGGAAUUACUGGGUGUAAAGGGUGCGCAGGCGGGCUUGUGCGUCGGAGGUUAAAGAUCUCGGCUUAACCGAGAAAGUGCCUUCGAAACGGCAGGUCUUGAAUGUGAGAGAGGAUGAUAGAAUUCCUGGUGUAGCGGUGAAAUGCGUAGAUAUCAGGAGGAAUACCGGUGGCGAAGGCGGUCAUCUGGCUCACAAUUGACGCUCAGGCACGAAAGCGUGGGUAGCGAACAGG